rnacentral:rRNA from 1 species
UACGGAGGAUGCGAGCGUUAUCCGGAUUUAUUGGGUUUAAAGGGUGCGUAGGCGGGCUGUUAAGUCAGCGGUAAAAGCCCGGGGCUCAACCCCGGCGAGCCGUUGAAACUGGCUGUCUUGAGAUGUCGAGAGGUAUGCGGAAUGCGCAGUGUAGCGGUGAAAUGCUUAGAUAUUGCGCAGAACUCCGAUUGCGAAGGCAGCAUACCGGCGGUGAUCUGACGCUGAGGCACGAAAGCGUGGGUAUCGAACAGG